GUAAGGAAUAUUGGUCAAUGGAGGCAACUCUGAACCAGCCAUGCCGCGUGCAGGAAGACAGCCCUCUGGGUCGUAAACUGCUUUUAUUCGGGAAUAAACCUAUCUACGUGUAGAUAGCUGAAUGUACCGAAGGAAUAAGGAUCGGCUAACUCCGUGCCAGCAGCCGCGGUAAUACGGAGGAUCCAAGCGUUAUCCGGAUUUAUUGGGUUUAAAGGGUGCGUAGGCGGCUUAUUAAGUCAGGGGUGAAAGACGGUGGCUCAACCAUCGCAGUGCCUUUGAUACUGAUGAGCUUGAAUAUACUAGAGGUAGGCGGAAUGUGACAAGUAGCGGUGAAAUGCAUAGAUAUGUCACAGAACACCGAUUGCGAAGGCAGCUUACUAUGGUAUUAUUGACGCUGAGGCACGAAAGCGUGGGGAUCAAACAGGAUUAGAAACCCUAGUAGUCC
rnacentral:rRNA from 1 species